CUAGUUGGUGAGGUAACGGCUCACCAAGGCCACGAUGCGUAGCCGACCUGAGAGGGUGAUCGGCCACACUGGGACUGAGACACGGCCCAGACUCCUACGGGAGGCAGCAGUAGGGAAUCUUCCGCAAUGGACGAAAGUCUGACGGAGCAACGCCGCGUGAGUGAUGAAGGUUUUCGGAUCGUAAAACUCUGUUGUUAGGGAAGAACAAGUACGAGAGUAACUGCUCGUACCUUGACGGUACCUAACCAGAAAGCCACGGCUAACUACGUGCCAGCAGCCGCGGUAAUACGUAGGUGGCAAGCGUUGUCCGGAAUUAUUGGGCGUAAAGCGCGCGCAGGCGGUCCUUUAAGUCUGAUGUGAAAGCCCACGGCUCAACCGUGGAGGGUCAUUGGAAACUGGGGGACUUGAGUGCAGGAGAGAAGAGUGGAAUUCCACGUGUAGCGGUGAAAUGCGUAGAGAUGUGGAGGAACACCAGUGGCGAAGGCGACUCUUUGGCCUGUAACUGACGCUGAGGCGCGAAAGCGUGGGGAGCAAACAGGAUUAGAUAUCCUGGUAGUCCACGCCGUAAACGAUGAGUGCUAAGUGUUAGAGGGUUUCCGCCCUUUAGUGCUGCAGUAAACGCAUUAAGCACUCCGCCUGGGGAGUACGGCCGCAAGGCUGAAACUCAAAGGAAUUGACG
rnacentral:rRNA from 1 species